GGCAGUGGCUGUUGACCCAUCCUUCCUCGGCCAUCUGGAAAAGAUCCGGGGCACAAAUUAGUUUUUCAAUAGAGCAGAGGUAGGAAGAAAUUUUGUAAUUCUUUUGUUUAGGUCAAAAAGGGCUAAUCCGGUCCUAAGGUCGCGUCCUACAGCCAACGACGGCUCUGAUACCACCUGAAGCGUCCCCACAUAAGUAGAGACUAAAUGUGAUACAAAUAUCAGUCCCAGGAGGCUGAUAACACAUUUAUUCGACAGAUAAUUCAGUUACCGUACAACUCCCGAGGGAGUGGGCGUGAAAGCCACGCAACGAUAAACAGUAAAUAGAUAACGGCGGCUAACCAAGCGACUGCCAAAAGACAGCACUCGGGACUACACGGCAGCAGCAGCAUCUUGGGCAGGGCAACACCACAGGCAGCGUCGGGUGCGGACACAACCUCUACUCGAGG
rnacentral:lncRNA from 1 species